rnacentral:rRNA from 1 species
GUAGGUGGCAAGCGUUGUCCGGAAUUAUUGGGCGUAAAGCGCGCGCAGGCGGUUCUUUAAGUCUGAUGUGAAAGCCCACGGCUCAACCGUGGAGGGUCAUUGGAAACUGGAGAACUUGAGUACAGAGGAGGAAAGCGGAAUUCCACGUGUAGCGGUGAAAUGCGUAGAGAUGUGGAGGAACACCAGUGGCGAAGGCGGCUUUCUGGUCUGUAACUGACGCUGAGGCGCGAAAGCGUGGGGAGCAAACAGGAUUAGAUACCCUGGUAGUCCACGCCGUAAACGAUGAGUGCUAAGUGUUAGGGGGGCUUCCGCCCCUUAGUGCUGCAGCUAACGCAUUAAGCACUCCGCCUGGGAGUACGGCCGCAAGGCUG